ensembl:lncRNA
AGUAAACGUGUCAUCAUCCUCAUUUCAUAGAUGAAGAAACAGGCAAGUCAUGUGGCUGGCAAGUGGUAAAGCUACAUUUAGCACCCACACAUUCUGGUUCUGGAGUCCACAAGCUUAACCACCACUUAAAAUUGCUGCUACUAAAAAAGAAUUCUCCAGAAAAAUAUGAGAUGCCCCCAAACAAAAGAAGAAAAAGAAGGAGGAAAAAAGGAUAGAGUCAACCAGAUGACUCAAACUUGUUCUGGCUCGAGUUUACCAAGCCAGACAGUCUCCAAGUGAAGCUUUGAGGAUGGGACCUCCACCUGGCAGAGCCACAGGACUGCCAUUCAAUGGAUCCAGAAGGCAGAGUAUGGAGCCAAAGAGGAUUAUUCCCAAGCUUUAAGAUCUGAUGGAAUUUGCCUUGCUAAAUGUUGGACUUGCCUGGGGCCUGUUACCCCUCCCCUCUUUUCUGUUUCUCUCUUUUGGAAUGGGAAUGUCUCUGCCUGUCCCUCCAUUGUAUUUCAGAAGCACAUAACAUGUCUGGUUUCGCAGAUUCACAGCUGGAGAGGAAAUGCUUCUGGAUGAAUCAUACCUUGAGUCUCACCCAUACCUACUUUAGAUGAUAUUUAGAUGAGAUGUUGGACUUUAUACUUAGAGUUGAUGCUGGAAUGAGUUAAGACUUUGGGGGCUGUUGGUAUAGAAUGAAUUUUUUUGCACAUGAUAAGGACAUGAAUUUGGGGGAGCUAGAGGCAGAUUGUUUUGGACUGAAUUGCAUCCCCCAAAAUUUAUGUGUUGAAGCCCUAAUUCCUCAUGUGAUUGUAUUGGAGAUGGGGCAUUUAAGGAGAUGGUUAAGGUUAAAUGAAAUCAGAAGGGUGGUACGCUGAUAUGUUAGAACUGGUGUCCUCACCUGAGAGGAAGAUAUGUCAGAGAUUGGUCUCUCCUUCUCUGUGCCAUGUGAGGACACAGUGAGAAGGUAGCCAUCUGCAAGCUAGGAAGAGAGCCAUCACCAGAAAUCGACCUUGCCAGCUCCUUGAUCUUGGACUUUCCAGCCUCCAGAACUGUGAGAAAAUAGUUUGAGCCACCCAGUCUUUGGUAUUUGGUUAUGGCAGCCCACGCUGACUACGGUAGGAUUUUAAACAGACUUAUUUUAAAGUCAUUUUAAGAUUGUUCUUUUUUUUUUUUUUCAUUUUAUCUGCAAUGAAUUCAUCCUCUGACUGGUUAUUUUUUGACUGUCUAUCUUCAUAUAUUUUAUUUUCGUUCAAUGGCUGAUCAUGAGUAGGAGAUUUUUUUUUAAAGCUCUCUCUCUGCCCUUGUCAUUCUCAUUUAAUAUUUUUCAGCUGCCCCUGUCUAGCCCCUGAAGGCAGUAAUCUACUGAAGCAUUUGGAUAUCCAUAGCAUAGAGCUUCAUCCCCAUAAAUAUUGGGCAUAUCACAGAGUCGUUCCCAGUGCUUCAAGGCUGAGUCUGCUUCCUGCCUUGUCAAUGGUUCCCUAGGCAAUGUUUUGGUCUUUUGGGCCUCCUUUCAUGUUUAUUUGUAACAUCUUAGGUUUUCUUGUCUAUGGUUAGUAGACCAGUGCUGUAAACUAGGUAGUCACAGCUCCCGAAAGGCACACUUGCAAGGUUACGUGAUCGUAUUAACCAUGUCUUUUAUUUUCAGUAUUCCGAUGCUUUGACAUCCGAAUCCUUCCUAGCUUGCAAGGACUGCCCCUCCCAGGGUUAGCCAGUUCUUAGAGAUAAUAAACAACUCUCUCUGUGUGUGCUUUUCAAAUGUAAACCAAACGGUCCAGAGCCCAUACCCCCAGUCACCUUCGUUAUUGGGCUCUUAGACUCCAGGCCAUUUCCCCUUGUCCCAGUCACCCAGGGCCAGGUAUCAGACAGCCAGGGACAGGCCCUAUGCCCAGAGACUGCUGAAAUUAUUCAAAGUAGCCAAUCUAAGCCUGCUUACACUGCCUUGCCUGUGCCUUCUCAUGGAAACCACCGUAAGGGCUCUUGCCCGUGAUUUCUCCCACUCCCUCUGCCUCCUGACCAACCCUGGUGCUUCCCCAUGUGGCCCAUGUGUGGUGUCCUGGGCCUCCUGUCUCUAGGGAUCUGUGAGGGAGCCUGCUUCAUGACAGCCAUUUCUGAGUCUAGAUGUCUUACCAUACCUGAUUGAAACAAAUCCCAAGUACCGUGAAAAAGAUGAUGUGCUGGGGGAAUGAUAGCAAAGUAAAGUGACUUGUGGAGGUGGAACACACAUGUCUUGUACUUGGUUAACUCUAGUCCAUUUAACAUCGUAAUUGUUAUAAAGUUCUGGGGUUUUGGAAAUGUGUGCUUUUAUAAUAUUAAGAACUCAAUAGUUUGAAUUAAUUUUGGAUUAUUACUUUAAAAAUGUCAACGCAUUAAUAAAAUGUAGCUUAUAUAUGAGGCCAAAAGGAGAAAAUAGCACAAGGUGCUUUUCUAAUUAAAGAAAAAGAAAGAAAGAAAUUGUUCUCCCAUUACCUCCUGUGUGAAUUGAAACUUCCUCACUUUAUACUUAAUUUAAAACACCCAAUACGUGUUCGGGGAAACUUCUAAAUGCUGGAUGUUCAGAGACGAUCCACUCCUUAGGUGCCCAGCACAGAAUGCUUCUCAGUCUAUCCAAAUUUCUUUCUUUCUUUUUUUUUGGUGAGGAAGAUUGGCCCUCAGCUAACAUGUGUUGCCAAUUUUCCUCUCUUUCUUUUUUUUCUCUCCCCAGAGCCCCAGUACAUAGUUGUAUACCCUAGCUGUAGGUCAUUCUGGUUCUGCCACGUGGGAUGCUGCCUCAGCAUGGCCUGAUGACUGGUGUGUGGGCCUGCGCCCAGGAUCCAAACCGGCAAAUCCUGGGCCGAUGACGUGGAGCGUGUGAACUUAACCACUCGGCCAUGGGGCUGGCCCCUAUGCAGAUUUCUUUCACCUGCUUAUAACUCAGGCUCUUCGUUCCACACUGUUCAGUUUCCCCGUAUCGGUUUCAGUCAUUCCUGCUUCAUCACUUGUGCCCCACCAUUGCCACUCCCAGGUGGUUCCCUCUCGUCCUCCUCCCCUUCCACGUACCAUGGAUUGAUUAUCAGCUUCCCAGUGAAGUCUGUCUCUGUUUGUUCGGUCACGUUACCAUUACUUUUUUUUUGGUAGGGAAAGAUUCCCUCUGAGCUAACAACUAUUGCCAAUCUUCCUCCCCAAAGCCCCAGUGUAUGAUUGUAUAUUCUGGUUGUAAGUCCUUCUAGUUCUUCUAUGUGAGCUGCCACAACAUGGCAACUGACAGAUGGGUGGUGCGGUUCCAUGACCACGAAAAGAACCUGGGCUGCGGAAGCGGCGAGAGCACUGACCUUUAACCACUCGGCCAUCAGGGCGGGUUCCAUUUCCUUGUUUGAAUUUCUACAGCCUUGUGAUCAUUUUCACACAAUUUUUGUGAAAUGUAGUCUUUAAUCACAUACUUUUUUGUUUUAAUUUUAAAAUAUCUGAAAUUGAAGCAUCUCUGUCUCUCCAUGUGUAUGUGUAUAAAUGUAUCUACACGUAUAUUUUUUCCAGUGAUUCACUGCUCCCCCCAAAUAUUUUCAAAUGGAUAACACACAUAUAAUCUGUGGGUUCUAGAAAUUGAGGAAAUAGGAAAUCUUGACUUCUCAGUGGUUCUCAGUUGGUCCUUCACGGCACCUCCUGGAGCAUCGGGAGCAGGGCUGAAGCAGCGGGAAACUGAGAUAAACCAACGGAGCCCAACUCCAGUCACUGCUAUAACCUUGGAGGAGCAGCUCAACUUUUUUGGUAUGGCUUGUCAAGCAGUACCAUGUCUGCACCCAGGAUCCGAACUGGUGAACCCCGAGCCGCCGAAUCAGAAAGUGAGCACCUAACCACUGCGCCACCAGGCCAGCCCCCACAAUGCCUAGUUUUGAAAACCUUGCUGUGAAGGAAUUUGCAAGUCUCUGCAAUAGAAACAAGCAGUAGAUGGCGUUGCCGUGACAGGGAACUCAGACACGGAAAAUGAUUAUUCCCAGACUGCCUUAAAAAUGGUGUACUUGAGGUAAGGAAAUGAAAGACUGCUAACUCUUGGCAUAACUGGGAAAAUGCCACUGUGAUACAAAUGCUAGGACUAUGAUUAAGUUUUAGUCCCUGACUAAUGGUGCCUAAAAUAUAGUGUGGAGAUAUACAAAUAAUCAGAAUACAGGUUAGGAAACAAAAAUUGCCCAAAGAAGGGAAAAUACAUGUAAUGUGGGAAUUCAUAGUCCUACAAAGUAUUAAUUACUUCUAGUUACAUUAAAAACUUUAAUUAUAAUUAAUAAUUAUAUUAAUUACACAUUUGUACUCUGUGUAACUAUACAAAUGAGUAAUGGGUAUACAAGGAGAUGGGUAGACAAACCGGAAAUAUUCACACCUGCAAAAGUGCAGGGCACCCUUUUCUAUUACUGCAAGAAAAGCCUCGAGGGGUUUGGCAAACAUGACCUGCUAGGUUGCCAGCCAUUUAAAAAUAGUCAAGUUCAGAACCCCGGGAAAGCAGACGCAUCUUUAAUAGGGCAAAGAGAUAGCGCUUCGCUGAGGUCUGGUGCUGCCUGAGAAGCUGACAUCACCCAGUCUACUUUAGGGUAAACUUUUAACAAUGAAGGGACUGGUUUUCCUCCUAAAUUCUUUAUGCUGACAUGCUGACAUCUGUUUAUAGGGAGCACCAGUGUAAUUCACAUGGUCCAAAGCCUCAUGCUUUCUGUGGGCCCACUCAUCAGCCCCUCACUGCCUUCACAGCCAGCUUUCAAAGGCAACUACGGCUUUCUUACAAAGAGAGGCUUCUGGCGUUGUCACGAGAACACGGACCCAACAGCACAGGCUCUGCAUUCAAAUUCUGACUCGCCCGUUUAUUUGAGCAAGUUGCUUCAUUUCGCUAAGCCUCAAUUUCUUCAAACUGGAGAAAAGAACAGUGCUUAUCUCAUUAGGCUAUUUUGAAGAUUAAGCGAAAUAAAGCAAGAGAGUGUUCAGUGAGGUAUCCAGCACACCACAAGCCCUCAGUUAUCAUUAGCUAUGAUUAGUCUGUGUCUGUGUUAGGAAGCGCAGCGUUCUCUCCUCCGGGCUUUUCCAGUGACCUCAGGUAACGUGAUUUUCUUAAGCUGACUCUUGUGGGCUGGUACCUACUCUAGUCUUCAGGCCAGCUCCACACACGUGACUUUGAGCUGUUUCUCAGCUUCUACAAGUUCUCCCUCUCUCCCUCUCUCCCUCUCUCCCUCUCUCCCUCCCUCUCUCUCUCUCAGCCAGCCUGUAAAGCCGGAAGCACACAGCUCCCUCUGUGACUCAGAUCUCCUUCCCUCUGCUCAUACCACCAGAGAGAAAGGCUGUGUUGAAGCUCAAACAGGGACUUCUUGAUUUCUCCAAACCGAGAGGUGACUUUUCACCAUAUUCUUGGUAGAGGAUGCGUUUCAAUUCCAUUGGAAGGAAGAAGAGCACCUUGAGAUGUCAGCCACCAUGAUGCUGUGUUUCUGUUUCCCUUUGACCUGUUAUAAAGCUGUAGAACUACAGACAUAAGCUCUUGUGUCUCUCUUCCUUUGGAUUAUAUUGCUGAACAUGUUCAUUUUUUGCCCUUUCAUGGAGGUAUAAAAAUGGCACGUGUAUCUCCACGUACUCGUUUGACGUGUGCUCGUGAAAUCUGCUUGUGUGCCCACAUGAUGGUGUAUGAAGCAGCUCUCGGUGACUGACCUCUCAAUUUUCUCUGUGAAAGAUGAGUUAGAUAUUUUGGGUAAAGAUGAGUGUUGAAGCUGUCCUGGGAACAGUGGUUUGAGAAAAAUACUAAAUGUGUAUGCAAUGUAAUGGGAUGUACUUUUAUUUAUCAAUGGGAAAAGAAAGCUGCUUUGUCUUAAAGCAAAGAUUCUGUCCAGAAAGUUAAAGAAGAUAGUGAAAGAAAAAGCUUCCAUGGGCAGAGAAAGUUUACAAGGCUUUCAGAAAGUAAGCUUUAUUUGUCUUAGUUUAUAAUAAUGGCAAAUAAUGAGUGUGGAGAGAAGCAAUGAAACCAUUAAAAUGUUGGCAAAGUAGGAUCAGCUUUUACAAGUUUAUUUAUAAGAUUUAAAUAACUCAUGAAUUCUUUACUGCUAAAAUAUUACAUUAACAGAGCUCUAGAAUGUGGUUUUCUCUGUUAAAAUGACAGAUUGGUAUAGGAGUGUUCAGUCUGCUCUUUAGAAGAGGUAGUAAAAGUUAUUUGUUACCUUCUGUGUAACCUACCCAGACGGCUGAGAUUGAUUCUUUCUUACCAGAUAAACUUUCUGUGCUUAUCCUACUUUGUUGCAUGCUUGAUUACUAAAACAGACAGAACCCAAAGGUUCUUUGCUUCCAAAAGAGCUAAGAUUCCUUCCAAUUGUCCUAACUUCGGCAUAUGUUCAUUUAAAAAUAUUGUGCUGUCAUUUCGAUUAGCAAGAAACCAAGCCACAACCAUUCAUUGCUCUCAGGCUACCAUGCUUCCACCUUAAUCAAGUGACCAGCCUCCUCUGUUAAUGCUUUGAUUUUGUCUUCUCAAGGUCAGACACAAAAUUCAGAAAAAUAAAAUGUAAAUGAAUAAAUAAAUUCAAGAUUUUUUUUUAACUAAUCUAUUUUUUUCAUCUUACACAAGAAACUGCUAGAAAUAGGUUUUUUUUUUUUUUGUCCGGUAUGCUUCAUAUUUCAUACAGCUCAAUACUGUUGUAAAAGCUGCAAGGGAAGAGAAAUUGUGAAAUCAGA